GUUUUCAGAUGCAGGCCGUGUGAUAUUUAAAGCCAUUUCAAAUGUUUGAAACUUCCCUGACACACAUCCCUUAAAACAGGUCAACUAAAGGCAACAUGAGUGUCUGAACUGACAGCGCUGCUCACAUCACAGUUCUGACCUCAACAUUACUGUACACAAGAGGACAGAAGCAGAUCCAGGGAAAGAUGGGAUUCUUGACAGGCUGUCAGCAGAGGCGAUCUGUAACC